rnacentral:rRNA from 1 species
UACGUAGGGGGCCGAGCGUUGUCCGGAGUUACUGGGCGUAAAGCGUGCGCAGGCGGUUCGUUGUGUCGGCGGUGAAAGCCCCGGGCUUAACCUGGGAAUGGCCGUCGAAACUGGCGAACUGGAGUGUGGCAGAGGGGGGUGGAAUUCCGCGUGUAGCAGUGAAAUGCGUAGAGAUGCGGAGGAACACCGAUGGCGAAGGCAGCCCCCUGGGCUGACCACUGACGCCUCAGGCACGAAAGCGUGGGGAGCAAACAGG